rnacentral:lncRNA from 1 species
UCCCACCGUUGAGAAACAUCAACACAGUAACCCGGGAACAGCAAUUUCACGGGCGGGUAGCGACAUUUCUCUCUAGGAAUCUUCCGGUGACCCCACAUAUUUGAUCAUCUGGACGUACGCAGAGACAACCACCAUGGGUGCAUGUCGCUAGAAAAAGUUGCUAGCUUAGUUGGCAUAAGUGGUAGCUAACAUUGGUUUGCUAACGUUAGCUGGCUAACGCUAACGUUAGCAAACAGACAGCUGAACCAAACUGAAGUCGGAAGAAGUUGGGAUUUCCUUAUCAUGACGAAGUCAUCAUGAAUGUGGAUAUAUAGACGCGUCGGAUAACUCACUAAAGGCUCCAUGUGAAGGCAAGAGAUGAGGAGCAGCAAGAGGACUGAGGCUUCCUUGAAAAGCUCUACACAGCACGAUCCUGAUAUUUGCACAGAGCUGUCAACUGCAUGGAAAAGUUUGGCUCAAUCCAAAGUUGCUUUGCGGCACAUAGAAAACCAUCUAGAGGUAGGUCCAGGAACUGGGGUUUUCCUGGACUCUCUUAUGGAUUCCACCAAGAAGAAAUCCUCCAGGACAGUGCGCUGCAGAGGUGAGUUAUCCUGAAAUGUAAUGCUACUAAUGAUAUC